GCUCAACAUCUUCAUUUUGAACCAUACGCUUGUCUGCAGGCUGCAAAAAUUAACUUCUCAAAUUGUAACCACAAUGUAUGGAAAACUCAGGAUAGUAGAGCAACGAGCGCCUCAGAGAAUCCCAAGCUUCUUGCACCAUUGGAUUAGGCUCAAAUGUAGUGCUUGAUCUUAGGAUUUUAUGAUCUGACAUGACUUACUAAGAUUUUGGUUGGCGGUUGAUUUUGAGAUGAAACCAAUGAUUAUGAUCAAAUGUUAUUUUGAAAGAACUAAAUUGAAUUGAAAUCUUGCUCAUAAAUUGCUAUCCAAACAAGCCUUGCAGAGUUCUUACCUCAGAAAUUGAACAUGGAGUAAGAGAAAUUCAGAAGUCGAUUGACAUGGCAGUAAUUGAUGAUCUUUGAGUUGAGUUCACUGGAGACGAUGGUUGACUGUUUGCAAUUUCGCGGCAAUUUGCAAAUCGGGUUGGAUUGGAUCAUUUCCAGUUUGAAUUAUUUUGGGCUGCUUUUUUCUUUUGGGUUGGAUUUCGGUUCAAGUUGCUACUAGGGAUGGUCAUGGGGCGGAGUGGGGAUGAUUUGAGGAUUAUUUACAAAUAUGGUUACCAUCAUACGCUUCAAAUGGAACUUUAUCAUUUUUUUUUUGAUAAUUGGGGAGGGGGAGCGCUUGUGGGAGAAAUCGAACCCACGACCUAGCAGUUUGCUGCCUAACGCUUAUACCAUUUGAGGUACAGCUCAUUGGUUGGAACUUUAUCAUUUAUAUUCUCUUUUAACUGUUAAUUUUGCAAUUGUACGGUUUUAUCAUGUUACUAUAUAAACAAGGCUUGUCCACCUCAUAUUUGAUGCCUCUAAUUUUAAUCAAUAUAACGUCAUAUUAUAAUAUGUAAUCAUUACCAACGAGCUAUAGCUCAAAUGGUAUAAGCGCUGGCAGCAAACUGCUAGGUCGUGGGUUCGAUUCCUCCCAUAAGAGCUCCCCCUUCUCAAUUAUUAAAAAAAAAAUAUAAUCAUUAAAUUAAUUUUUGAGAAACAAUAGUGCUACUUGCAUAGUUGAUCUAAUAUAUUUAGUUUAGUUUUUUUUUA